AUACCUUCAUGGUAUAACCGUGAAGAUGAAGGUGGUUUUCCCAAGGCUAAGCAAAUUCAUUGUGGUCUGGAUGUGUUGACCCCUGCAAUUUUCCCAGAUGAGGGAAACUUGACUAAAUAAUUUAUGGUAAUGGAGGACUCUGCUCAAGUUCUCCC
rnacentral:snRNA from 1 species